GACGAGAUAGUUUAAUGAAAAUGUCUAUUUUACACGUAGAGGUUGGUUAUGGUGCCUAUCGUCA
rnacentral:tRNA from 2 species